UGCCUGCCUGCAAUAAAGCCAUAUCGCUC
rnacentral:sRNA from 1 species